rnacentral:rRNA from 1 species
CCUACGGGUGGCAGCAGUUAGGAAUAUUCGUCAAUGGGGGAAACCCUGAACGAGCAAUGCCGCGUGAACGAUGAAGGCCCUCCGGGUUGUAAAGUUCUGUUGUUUGGAAAGAAUCUCGCGUGUAGGAAAUGACACGCUACUGACGGUACCAUUCAAGAAAGCCAGGGCUAACUACGUGCCAGCGGCCGCGGUAAUACGUAGUUGGAGAGCGUUAUCCGGAUUUUUGGGGCGCAAGGCGUCCGCAGCCGGUUUAUUAAGGUUAAGAGUAAAGCCCGAAGCUUAACUUCGGUUCGUUUUAGAAACUGGUAGACUCGAGUGUGGUAGAGGCAAGUGGAACUUCUAGUGUAGCGGUAAAAUGCGUAGAUAUUAGAAAGAACACCAGUGGCGAAGGCGACUUGCUGGGCCAUCACUGACGGUCAGGGACGAAAGCGUGGGGAGCAAAUAGGAUUAGAUACCCCAGUAGUC